GACGAACGCUGGCGGCGUGCUUAACACAUGCAAGUCGAACGGAAAGGCCCUGCUUGCCGGGUACUCGAGUGUCGAACGGGUGAGUAACACGUGGGUGAUCUGCCCUGCACUUCGGGAUAAGCCUGGAGAACUGGGUCUAAUACCGGAUAGGAGCCAUUUUUAGUGUGAUGGUUGGAAAGUUUUUUGGGUGUGGGAUGAGCUCGCGGCCUAUCAGCUUGUUGGUGGGGUAAUGGCCUACCAAGGCGGCCACGGGUAGCCGGCCUGAGAGGGUGGACGGCCACAUUGGGACUGGGGUACGGCCCAGACUCCUACGGGAGGCAGGAGGGGGGAAUAUUGCACAAUGGGCGCAAGCCUGAUGCAGCGACGCCGCGUGGGGGAAGACGGCCUUCGGGUUGUAAACUCCUUUCGCUAGGGACGAAGCUUUUUGUGACGGUACCUAGAUAAGAAGCACCGGCUAACUACGUG
rnacentral:rRNA from 1 species